AGUGUAUUUCCCACAGCCCGUUCGCUGGGCCUUUGCCCAGCUUCAGAUCACCUGGGAUCUGCCGGCCCCAGGUAAUUACGUCAUUUAAAACCUUGGUGUAAUUCUCCAGGCCUUGCAUGUGUCCUGGUUGGCAGCUUUGCAUUUCCUUUGCUAGCUUGGGUCUCACGCAGGCAGUACCUUAGAAAAUCAUUCCAGCCCAGAGAGUGUGACCAAGGCAGGACAGACCGUGCUGGGGAAGAGCGGCGCCCCAGCGAACAGCAUUUAUCCCGGAUUGAACACCUCAACUUGCAGAUGAAGAGAACUGGCAGGCCCCACCGGUGAGCCCUCAACUAUCCUAAUGGCUUUGUAUGUGUGUGGCUGGUGGAAACUGACAGCACCAUUGACUAAGGGAAGGCCCCAGCUGCAAGUUACAGAGUGAACAAAUGAGUGGCAGAGCAGGGACUAGACCCCAGGAGUCCUGAUUCCCAGUCAGCUGCUGCUUCCUCGUGGAGCCAUGGUAGCUGAACAUCACCCAGCACAAGAGAGUGAAUCCAGGUGCUGCGGCCAGAGCUGCCAGGCAAUUCCACACACCUGGUUCUUCAGCUCCCAGACCACCAGCCUCUGGCCUGUGAGCUAGAGGAGAUCUCCUGCAGCUGCCUCCAGUGCCCCUGCUGAAACGACCCCGCGCAGAGGGCAAAGAGCGUCUGGAAUCCCCCACACGUCUGUACGCACCAGAACGCCGCCCGGCCCAGCUUUCCAGCAGAGGGGAGGAAAAAUGAACAGUAGAUUCCAUAGUGAUCACCUCGUCUGACCCCCAGAGACCUGCCCCCUGAGUCGCUCCUAGGGCAGAUCCCUUAGAAAACCAGCCCGUCUCGAUCUAAAGAUUGUCAGCGAUGGAGAACCCGCCACAACCUCAGCCAGUUGUGUGACGAACUGGGACUGUUCUUGCUGGGGUGUGGGAAUGCUGACAGGGGAGUGUGACUAGGAUGGUCUGCAUCGGGGGAUGGGAGUCGGCCCAAGGGAACAUACCUGAGCUUGUAACAUGAGAACCCAGGAGGGGAUUGGAGGUCAGGUGACUCCGGGGCCCUGGAAACUGAACAAAGGCUGUGGGAGGGGUCGCUGAAGGAGAGUGUGGGAAGCAGGCUGGAGAGAUGGCUGGGGGGCAGAGAUGGCUCUGACCUCCCAAGGGGGGCUGGGACCCCAAGAUGGACCAAACUGAGGGGGUCCCAGUUGUCUGUGCCUGCAAGACCUGUCUUGGACUGUAUUCCUGUCAUCCAAAUAAACCUUCUGCUUUA